GACGAACGCUGGCGGCGUGCUUAACACAUGCAAGUCGAACGGAAAGACCCUGCUUUUGUGGGGUGCUCGAGUGGCGAACGGGUGAGUAACACGUGAGUAACCUGCCCUUGACUUUGGGAUAACUUCAGGAAACAGGGGCUAAUACCGGAUAGGAGCUCCUGCUGCAUGGUGGGGGUUGGAAAGUUUCGGCGGUUGGGUAUGGACUCGCGGCUUAUCAGCUUGUUGGUGGGGUAGUGGCUUACCAAGGCUUUGACGGGUAGCCGGCCUGAGAGGGUGACCGGCCACAUUGGGACUGAGAUACGGCCCAGACUCCUACGGGAGGCAGCAGUGGGGAAUAUUGCACAAUGGGCGGAAGCCUGAUGCAGCAACGCCGCGUGCGGGAUGACGGCCUUCGGGUUGUAAACCGCUUUCGCCUGUGACGAAGCGUGAGUGACGGUAAUGGGUAAAGAAGCACCGGCUAACUACGUG
rnacentral:rRNA from 1 species